GGUGGCACAGAUCUGUAAUCCCAGCUACUUGGGAGGCUGAGGUAGGAGGAUCAUCUGAGCUGAGGAAUUCAAGACCAUCCUAGGCAACAUAGUGAGAUCCCAUCUCAA
rnacentral:sRNA from 1 species